GCCGGGCGUGGUGGCUCAUGCCUGUAAUCCUAGCACUUUGGGAGGCUGAGGCGGGUGGAUCACCUGAGGUCGGGAGUUUGAGACCAGCCUGACCAACAUGGAGAAACCCCGUCUCUA
rnacentral:SRP_RNA from 1 species